rnacentral:rRNA from 1 species
UACGUAGGUGGCGAACGUUAUCCGGAAUUAUUGGGCGUAAAGGGUGCGUAGGCGGCAUGAUAAGUUAUUGGCGGGAAAUCGAGGCUCAACCUCGUGGAAACUAAUAAUACUGUUUUGCUUGAGUACAGGAGAGGUUAACGGAACUCCAUGUGGAGCGGUAAAAUGUGUAGAUAUAUGGAAGAACAUCAAUAACGGCGAAGGCAGUUAACUAUUCUGUUACUGACGUUGAGGCGCGAAAGCGUGGGGAGCAAACAGG